UUCAGAUACAAUCAAUAAAUUGUGAUCAUUAGGAAAAAAAUAAAUUUUGAAUUGAUUUUUUAGUCCACUUUUGAUUUUACCAUUCCAGAAUUAGACUUACAUAUAUAUACCUACAAAUGUCCACCAAUGAAGAAAUGGAGAAUCGAGGAGAGAAAAUAUUUCAUUUCAAGUAACUUAACACAUUUUCGGCGAAAUUAAUAGCACUAAAGAUGAGUUAUUAAACUAAAAUAUGACUCAAAAGCUCCUAGUUUUAGACCAAGGCAUUAAAGCUCUGAUUUGCUACCAUGCGGCACGUUAGAAUAAAAAUACUAUUUGCAAAAAAAUCUGCAGAUGCCCCCACCCUCAACACAUAAGCCUUGGCUUCAACUAUAAUGUUAAAUGUGAAGCAACUUUGAAAUGGAAAAAUGGCAGUACCGAGCAUAUCAAAAAACUAACAUUACAUUAAUUUCGAGAAAGGUU